rnacentral:rRNA from 1 species
GACGAACGCUGGCGGCGUGCUUAACACAUGCAAGUCGAACGGUGAAGCGCCUUCCUUUUUGGUGGGUGUGGAUGAGUGGCGAACGGGUGAGUAACACGUGAGUAACCUGCCCCCUUCUUCUGGAUAACCGCAUGAAAGUGUGGCUAAUACGGGAUAUUCUGGGUCUGUCGCAUGAUGGGUCUGGGAAAGAUAUUGUUUCGGUGGGGGAUGGGCUCGCGGCCUAUCAGCUUGUUGGUGGGGUGAUGGCCUACCAAGGCGGUGACGGGUAGCCGGCCUGAGAGGGUGGACGGUCACACUGGGACUGAGACACGGCCCAGACUCCUACGGGGGGCAGCAGUGGGGAAUAUUGCACAAUGGGCGCAAGCCUGAUGCAGCGACGCCGCGUGAGGGAUGGAGGCCUGCGGGUUGUGAACCUCUUUCGCCAGUGAAGCAGGCCUGCCUCGUUUGUGGGUGGGUUGACGGUAGCUGGAUAAGAAGCGCCGGCUAACUACGUG